UACGUAGGUGGCAAGCGUUGUCCGGAUUUACUGGGCGUAAAGAGCGCGCAGGCGGUCGAAUAAGUCGAAUGUGAAAGCCCCCGGCUUAACUGGGGAGGGUCAUUCGAUACUGUUCGACUUGAAGGCAGGAGAGGGCAGCAGAAUUCCCGGUGUAGUGGUGAAAUGCGUAGAUAUCGGGAGGAAUACCAGUGGCGAAGGCGGCUGCCUGGCCUGUUCUUGACGCUGAGGCGCGAAAGCUGGGGGAGCAAACGGGAUUAGAAACCCCCGUAGUCC
rnacentral:rRNA from 1 species